AUGGAGUUGAUGAUUAUUUCCCCAGAUGAUCGAAUAUGAAAUAACUGAGCGCAUUUUUAAUUCUCUCUAUCAGGGAGAAUCCAAGCCAGAAAUCUGAUCCUU